rnacentral:lncRNA from 10 species
CUGACUGGGGUUGGUCCAUAUAAAAGCCUUUGCACUGGUCUGCAAACGAAAGUAGAAAAAUAAGGAAUGUAUAGCAAGUUGUCAUACUUCAAAUGAACUUAAUUGAGAAACUGUCUUUUAUUCUAAGAUAACUUUCUUUACCCUUUUUUUCUGUUAAAAAUAUCCUUUUAUAAAAUGAUAGCAAAAAUGAGUGUAACUAUUUUUUCAAUUUGCUUAUUUGGCAAAGUGGAAGGUUGAAAGGCCAGUACACUUGAUCCUUAAAUUUUCAUUGUUGUUGAAAUUGUACAGGGCUUUAAAUUUACAGUCUGGAAACCUCUGAACAGAGCUGGUUUCUCUGCCCUGCCAGGGUCCUGCCUGUCAUCACAUGCGGCUAUGCGCCCAGGACAGGUCACCGGUCAAUUUCCUUUCUCUGGUUUGGACGAUGACUUUUUCUCGUGGUCUUUGUGUAAUACCUGUGUGGCAAAUAACGUAGUGAGUGACUGGGCGACUUCCAGAAGCUCAGGGUGUGUGCUAGAUGAGAAAUCAUCUUUGACUGACAUGUAAGAAUCCCCUUUUCAUUUAUCUUGGCAUAUAAGUAAGCCUGAACUGGGAAUCUAUCCAAAUUUGCAUUUCAAAAAGGGCUCUUGCACUGUGGAGGUUCACAGAAGUUCAGUAAUGAUUUUCUGAACUAAUGAACUACAAAUGGUUGUAGUUCAUCAUGGUUUUGUAGACAUUAUGGUUGUGAUCCUUAAACUGGGCUUGAUUAAACUUGUCCUGUGAGUGGCAUGCAGAGGGACCGCACCCCACAGUCAAGGCUGCACUGGGAAGGGGCCCUGCACAGUCCUGCGGAGCUGGAAAAAGUCCCCUCAUUCUGAGAGGGGCUGGGGGCGUCUGAGGCUAUUCCAGAUCAGGCUGGAAGAGUAGGUAAUGCUUUCCAAUGCAACGCUUUAACAGUCCCAUUGUUUUUCACUAAGUAGAGGGCAGGGAUGAUGGCACUGUGCUGAAGGAGGUGGCUUCACAGCCAGGUGGAUUUUAUUUCAUGUGAGACUGGCUGACCAGGACUAGGAUGACCUUAGAACAAUGACACUUCCUAACAGAUAAUAGCCACAUAAGAUGCAUCUGCUGCCUCUUUGCCUUCCGACAUGAUUGUAAGUUUCCUGAGGCCUCCCCAGAGACUGUCGUGCUUUCUAUACAGCCUGCAGAACCAUGAGCCAAUUAAACCUCUUUUCU